ACCAGACUCCUACGGGAGGCAGCAAUGGGGAAUAUUGCACAAUGGGGGAAACCCUGAUGCAGCGACGCCGCGUGAGUGAAGAAGCGUUUCGGCGCGUAAAGCUCUGUCAGCGGGGAAGAAACACGGUUCGCGAGAGCCGCGGACGGUACCCGACCAAGAAGCCCCGGCUAACUACGUGCCAGCAGCCGCGGUAAUACGUAGGGGGCAAGCGUUAUCCGGAUUUACUGGGUGUAAAGGGAGCGUAGGCGGCGAUGCAAGUCAGAAGUGAAAGCCCGGGGCUCAACUCCGGGACUGCUUUUGAAACUGUGUUGCUAGAUUGCAGGAGAGGUAAGUGGAAUUCCUAGUGUAGCGGUGAAAUGCGUAGAUAUUAGGAGGAACACCAGUGGCGAAGGCGGCUUACUGGACUGUAAAUGACGCUGAGGCUCGAAAGCGUGGGGAGCAAACAGGAUUAGAUACCCCCGUAA
rnacentral:rRNA from 1 species